rnacentral:lncRNA from 1 species
CUCACACAGCAACCGUGAACUGCAACAACACAGUCACCUGCUGCGGCAACAUCUCUUUCUUUGCACCGUGAGAACCACCAUCCCCCACCGUACUAACCUCCACACCAGGAAGCGUCUCUCAUCUCCACCGUUAGCUUUAGUCCUGAUAGCAGUCCUUGGAUACAACCAGUGAGCAGACUUCACCAGUGGCAACAGUGCAGCCUGUGGUAUUCCUCUAUCAAGUAUGUCAACAUAUUUACUCUUAUAUUAUUCAUCAUACUUUAC